rnacentral:misc_RNA from 1 species
AAAUGCGAUAACUAGUGUGAAUUGCAGAAUUCCGUGAAUCAUCGAGUCUUUGAACGCACUUUGCGCCCCCUGGUAUUCCGGGGGGCAUGCCUGUCCGAGCGUCAUUGCUGCCCAUCAAGCACGGCUUGUGUGUUGGGUCGUCGUCCCCUCUCCGGGGGGGACGGGCCCCAAAGGCAGCGGCGGCACCGCGUCCGAUCCUCGAGCGUAUGGGGCUUUGUCACCCGCUCUGUAGGCCCGGCCGGCGCUUGCCGAACGCAAAUCAAUCUUUUUCCAGGUUGACCUCGGAUCAGGUAGGGAUACCCGCUGAACUUAAGC